rnacentral:rRNA from 1 species
GAUGAACGCUGGCGGCGUGCCUAAUACAUGCAAGUCGAGCGAACAGACGAGGAGCUUGCUCCUCUGACGUUAGCGGCGGACGGGUGAGUAACACGUGGAUAACCUACCUAUAAGACUGGGAUAACUUCGGGAAACCGGAGCUAAUACCGGAGAAUAUAUUGAACCGCAUGGUGCAAUAGUGAAAGACGGUUUUGCUGUCACUUAUAGAUGGAUCCGCGCCGCAUUAGCUAGUUGGUAAGGUAACGGCUUACCAAGGCAACGAUGCGUAGCCGACCGGAGAGGAUGAUCGGCCACACUGGAACUGAGACACGGUCCAGACUCCUACGGGAGGCAGCAGUAGGGAAUCUUCCGCAAUGGGCGAAAGCCUGACGGAGCAACGCCGCGUGAGUGAUGAAGGUCUUCGGAUCGUAAAACUCUCUUAUUAGGGAAGAACAAAUGUGUAAGUAACUAUGCACGUCUUGACGGUACCUAAUCAGAAAGCCACGGCUAACUACGUG